rnacentral:lncRNA from 1 species
GACGUCAGAAGGCCACAGGGGGCUCAGACCGCCAGUACCGCUGGGAAAUCGAGUAACUACCAGUUUGUGUAGCUAGGCGGUGAAGACGCUCAAGCUCCGCGGAGAAUUUUGGAAACUUUCAGAGCCUUAAUCGUGGAGCUAUGUCUGGAAAGCAAGAACCAGAAUCGCCUAAAGUAGAGGCCAGUGGAAGAGGCCACCUGGAGUUAAAAGAUGAUAACACUCACAAGCAAGGGGAUGAUGGAUCUCUAUUGGCGUAAGUUAUGACAUCUUUUAUUCACAUUAAAAUUGCCAUCUUUGUGGUGACAGCAGAUCCAAUCAAA